rnacentral:tRNA from 1 species
ACCGCAGCGAUAGCUCAGUGGGUAAAGCGCCAGGUGAGAGACUUCGAGAGCUAUUAUCUGCGCGGGUUCGAAUCCCGCCUGUGGUA